CUGGGAACUUCCAUAUGCCAUGGGUGCGGCGCUAAAUGGAUGUGGCGGGGGAGAAGAAGCAAAUGCGAUAAAUUGCUAAAGACUUUUUUUUUCUGUGUUACUACUCUGUUCAAAGCAAAAGCUCUACUGUAGAAAAAUCGUGACAUGGCAAUUUUGGACCACCUUUCCCCUAGAAGUGGUCACAUUGAGGACGAUAUGGAUCAUUUUUUCUUUCCUUAUCCUGCAGAGGAUGGAACUGGUUCCAAAGAAAGGACUUCCCUGGAAUGAGAGAUCAACUAGGUGUGAAAAAGCAUCCCAAAGCCUCUGGACUCACUGCCAAUGCAAUUAGCUGCUACGAAAUUUGGGUAGGGAGUGUCGUGUUUCUGGAAGUGUCCAGAGGGAGCUUGGAUGAGCAAUUCUUGGAAAGAUUUUUAAAGCUUGCCCCAAGAACUUGCUGCCAUACGAGAGACCCUCAAAGGACAUUGGAUAUUUACCUUGAAGAAAAGAAAACUCUGCUGGGAGAGAGGGGUGGUUAAGAAACACUAACCCGUUUGAUAAUUUUGUGAGUACAGGGGAGCUGAGCUAUUGCUGUGUAUUCCUGUGGAGAAAUAAAUAGUAAUAGAAAUUA